rnacentral:rRNA from 1 species
UGUUUCGGCUAGGGGGCCAUCCCGGCUUACCAACCCGAUGCAAACUGCGAAUACCGGAGAAUGUUAUCACGGGAGACACACGGCGGGUGCUAACGUCCGUCGUGAAGAGGGAAACAACCCAGACCGCCAGCUAAGGUCCCAAAGUCAUGGUUAAGUGGGAAACGAUGUGGGAAGGCCCAGACAGCCAGGAUGUUGGCUUAGAAGCAGCCAUCAUUUAAAGAAAGCGUAAUAGCUCACUGGUCGAGUCGGCCUGCGCGGAAGAUGUAACGGGGCUAAACCAUGCACCGAAGCUGCGGCAGCGAACGUAUCACUUAAAACGAUUCAGAAGCUUACGAUUGACGGAGCGAAGCGACGUCAAAGCGUAUACAAAGUCGAGUCGGUUUAAGGAUACGUUCGUUGGGUAGGGGAGCGUUCUGUAAGCCUGCGAAGGUGGCCUGUGAGGGUUGCUGGAGGUAUCAGAAGUGCGAAUGCUGACAUAAGUAACGAUAAAGCGGGUGAAAAGCCCGCUCGCCGGAAGACCAAGGGUUCCUGUCCAACGUUAAUCGGGGCAGGGUGAGUCGACCCCUAAGGCGAGGCCGAAAGGCGUAGUCGAUGGGAAACGGGUUAAUAUUCCCGUACUUGGUGUUACUGCGAAGGGGGGACGGAGAAGGCUAUGUUGGCCGGGCGACGGUUGUCCCGGUUUAAGCGUGUAGGCUGACUUUCCAGGCAAAUCCGGAGAGUCAAGGCUGAGGCGUGACGACGAGGCACCACGGUGCUGAAGCAACAAAUGCCCUGCUUCCAGGAAAAGCCUCUAAGCAUCAGGUAACAUCAAAUCGUACCCCAAACCGACACAGGUGGUCAGGUAGAGAAUACCAAGGCGCUUGAGAGAACUCGGGUGAAGGAACUAGGCAAAAUGGUGCCGUAACU